GUAAAUUUUUUUAAACAAAUUUGUGAAAAAAAUGAGGAAAACUUUCUUUUUGCGCCAAAAUUGGUGUCAAUUUUGGCUUCAAAAUUGCGAUUUCGGCGCAAAUUCCUCAUUUCUGUUGUGUCAUUUAAGAGUAGUAGUUGGAGUUUCGUAAUUUUUUAUUGGCCGCAGAAAAAAACAAAACAAAAAAACAGCAACAUGAGCCGCAAAUGUGUUAAGGAUUGUCCAGGAGGGGAGAAUCUUCACCGCUUUCUUUCCGAAGGAUCCGACAAGGCACUUGAGGGUACUUACCGCUGAUCCAGGAGAGAUUUGGUCCAAUUCGUCCAUUAGCUUCAGGCACUUGAGGGUACUUACCGCUGAUCCAGGAGAGAUUUGGUCCAAUUCGUCCAUUAGCUUCCAGAUAUUACUUACCAUUUUUCCACAAGGUACAACUUCGUUGGAGUUCAUUUUUGUUAUUUUUUUAUAAAUAAACAAAAAAAAUAAAAAAUUGUGAAAAUUUUUCAAUAAA